rnacentral:rRNA from 1 species
UACAGAGGUCUCAAGCGUUGUUCGGAUUCAUUGGGCGUAAAGGGUGCGUAGGUGGCGAGGUUAGUCAGGUGUGAAAUCUCGGGGCUCAACCCCGAAACUGCACUUGAUACUGCCUUGCUAGAGUACUGGAGAGGAGACUGGAAUUUACGGUGUAGCGGUGAAAUGCGUAGAUAUCGUAAGGAAGACCAGUGGCGAAGGCGGCUCUCUGGGACGGUACUGACGCUGAGACGCGAAAGCGUGGGGAGCGAACAGG